rnacentral:rRNA from 1 species
UACGUAGGGGGCAAGAGUUAUCCGGAUAUACUGGGUGUAAAGGGAGCGUAGGUGGUUCGGCAAGUCGGAUGUGAAAGCCCGGGGCUCAACCCCGGGACUGCAUUUGAAACUGCCGGGCUAGAGUGCAGGAGUGGUAAGUGGAAUUCCUAGUGUAGCGGUGAAAUGAGUAGAUAGUAGGAGGAACACCAGUGGCGAAGGCGGCUUACUGGACUGUAAAUGACACUGAGGCUCGACAGCGUGGGGAGCAAACAGG